rnacentral:rRNA from 1 species
UACGGAGGGAGCUAGCGUUGUUCGGAAUACUGGGCGUAAAGCGCACGUAGGCGGCUCAGCAAGUCAGGGGUGAAAUCCCGGGGCUCAACCCCGGAACUGCCCUUGAAACUGCUAGGCUAGAAUCUUGGAGAGGCGAGUGGAAUUCCGAGUGUAGAGGUGAAAUUCGUAGAUAUUCGGAAGAACACCAGUGGCGAAGGCGACUCGCUGGACAAGUAUUGACGCUGAGGUGCGAAAGCGUGGGGAGCAAACAGG